AUUGAACGCUGGCGGCAGGCCUAACACAUGCAAGUCGAACGAGUGGCGGACGGGUGAGAAAUGUCUGGGAAACUGCCUGAUGGAGGGGGAUAAUUACUGGAAACGGUAGCUAAUACCGCAUACCAUCAGAUUUGCCCAGAUGGGAUUAGCUAGUUGGUGGGGUAACGGCUCACCAAGGCGACGAUCCCUUGCUGGUCUGAGAGGAUGACCAGCAACAUGAGAACUGAGACGCGGUCCAGACUCCUACGGGAGGCAGCAGUGGAGAAUAUUGCAGAAUGGGCGCAAGCCUAAUUCAGCCAAGCCGCGUGUAUGAAGAGGACCUUCGGGUUGUAAAGUACUUUCAGCGGGGAGGCGUUACCCGCAGAAGAAGCACCGGCUAACUCCGUGCCAGCAGCCGCGGUAAUAC
rnacentral:rRNA from 1 species